CGGGGAGGGAGGGGAGGGAGAGAGGAAGAAGGGGUGAGAGGGAGAAACCUGCCGCCGCUCGCCGCCUCUUUGUCUGCUCCGGGACUUGGAACAAAAGGGGGAACUCUGAUGAACUCUCUUCCCUCCCUUCUCCCCCGGACGCUCGGGCAUCUCCCUCUCGCAACUUUGCAGCCGCGACUUUCUCUGCUGUCAGGCCACGGGGAAGUGUCCGAGCGCCUCGCGGACCGCAACAAGGGAAACGCCUCUGAAAAGUGCGACCAAGUGGGGAAGAAGACUGUUUUGCUGUCUGGAAACUCAUGCCCACCUCUGACUUCCCGCACAGUGUGACUGCAAGAGGAGAGUCAAAAUCGCUUCCCCCACAGUGUGACUUCCAGAGUUGUUAGACAUUGGGAUGUCCUUCUGAGGUGGGCUGUGGAAUGCCAUGUAAGUUUUUACUUUUUUUUUUCUGAAUGUGAUAGAUUUUCAGGUGCAGUAGGGAUGGCUUAG
rnacentral:lncRNA from 1 species